rnacentral:tmRNA from 1 species
GGGGAUGUUUUGGAUUCGCUGUGAUUUAUGAAGAUUUGUAAGCAUGUGGUGGGAUUAUCGGCCACCUAAAAAACGUCGAGGUUUAUUAAAUUAAACGCAGAAGAAAACAAUGAUUAUGCAUUUUUAGCAGCAAGAAAUAAUUCUUGCGCUAAUUAUGCUUUCGCUUGCUAAUAAUAAUUUAAGCGACUCAUCCCUACUGAUUUCCCAUGUCAGUAGGCUAUGAGCUAAUUUCAGUGGGAUAUAUUAUUAAUGUACUACUCUAACAUUAAUAAAGAAUUCAAUAGAGUGUAGUUAGUUUUUGGUUUGUCAUUUCGCUUAGGGCUAAUGAAGAUUUAGAUUUGACUAAACAUGUAGAAAGCAAAUUGGAUUGGGUUGCAUACACGGGUUCGAGUCCCGUCAUCUCCACCA